ensembl:lncRNA
AGCCAUUUUUGGUUUGUGAUGAGUGUUUUGUGAUGCUCAGCUUCUGUUUUGUGAAUUGCUCUUUCUAAUUUAGAAGAUCCUGCAGAAAUGUGUGCGCCCUUAUCUGAGAGGACAUGGAGAGAGUGUCGCAAACUCGAGUUGACAGGUAACCCUACUGGAGUCGCCAAUAGUAACCGGUGGCUUCUCAGCUUCAGUGUGUUGAUGGGCACAGCCAUUGUUACCACAGCUGGAGUUGGUAUACGCGGAGCUGUGAGAGGACAGAGAUGGCGAACGGACAUUUAACUAUUUAACAGGAGAUACGUUAUGACUAAUAGACGACUACUGUUUAAAUGAUGUCUUUGCAGCCCUUAUGGCACACGUUACACAACUUUUCUUCAUGCCAGCAAGACUGAGGUGCCCACAUAGUUGACACAUACAACUGAUUAUGAAUGCAUAUUUUACUAUUCCUAUUUUCACAUCAUCUCCUUGGCUUUAUUAGUGAAAGCCUGGAGAUACUCUGACUUGUGCAUGGCUGAUGUGAAGUAUGAUUAGUACUACAUGACUUACACCAUCAACAACAGAGGCAAUGAAAGCUUUGUUGUUAACAGGUUGGAUGGUAAAGUCAAAUUUCUAAUUCUACACUUGUGUUCGGUAAAGUUAUUCUCACUGCAGCAGAUUUAUAUCUGUGGUUUCACAGGGCGUGAUGUGGACCUCAGCGCUGAGGUGCAGUUCUCCUUGGAGACCGGCAUCCUGGCUGAAAAUAUUAUCAUGCUUCCAAAACAUGGCUGGGGUAUCUCAGUGACUUGCGCAUGGCUGACGUGAAGUAUGACGAGUUUGCCCUGAUUCAUUCCAUCAAGACAAAGGGGAAAGAAAGCUAUGUUGUUAACAAACUAUAUGGUGUGGACCUCAGUGCUGAGGUGCAGGAGAAUUUCAUUCAGUUCUCCCUACAAACCAGCAUCCAGCCUGAAAAUAUUGUCAUCUUUCCCAAAAAUGGUCCUCUUAUCUCAGAGAAGACGUUUGAUGUAAAAUAACUGCAAUCAACAGUGAUGUUAUGCACAGAUCACUUUUCCAUUUUCCUCUCUCUGGAUGAGUGCCCAGCUGCCUAACCUUGUGUCCAGGUGAUCAUCC